UACGAAGGGGGCUAGCGUUGCUCGGAAUCACUGGGCGUAAAGCGCACGUAGGCGGGUCGUUAAGUCGGGGGUGAAUCCUGGAGCUCAACUCCAGAACUGCCUUCGAUACUGGCGAUCUCGAGUCCGGAAGAGGUGAGUGGAACUCCUAGUGUAGAGGUGGAAUUCGUAGAUAUUAGGAAGAACACCAGUGGCGAAGGCGGCUCACUGGUCCGGUACUGACGCUGAUGUGCGAAAGCGUGGGGAGCAAACAGG
rnacentral:rRNA from 1 species